rnacentral:misc_RNA from 1 species
GAUGAAGAACGCAGCGAAAUGCGAUAAGUAAUGUGAAUUGCAGAAUUCAGUGAAUCAUCGAAUCUUUGAACGCACAUUGCGCCCGCCAGUAUUCUGGCGGGCAUGCCUGUCCGAGCGUCAUUUCAACCCUCGCGCCCAUCUGGGCUGCGGUGUUGGGGACCGGCCUGCCCCCCGGGGCGCGCCGCCCCCCAAAUUCAGUGGCGGUCUCGCUGCAGCCUCCCUUGCGUAGUAGCACACCUCGCACCGGAGCGCAGCGCGGCCACGCCGUAAAACCCCCGACCCCCAUGAGUUUGACCUCGGAUCAGGUAGGAAUACCCGAUGAACUUAAGCAUAUCAAUAAGCGGAGGA